rfam:Salmo salar isolate Sally breed double haploid chromosome ssa19, whole genome shotgun sequence.
UCUGUCCUCGGUUGCAAGUCGCUCUGGAUAAGAGCGUCUGCGAAAUGACGUAAA